rnacentral:rRNA from 1 species
AACGAACGCUGGCGGCAUGCCUAACACAUGCAAGUCGAACGAGACCUUCGGGUCUAGUGGCGCACGGGUGCGUAACGCGUGGGAAUCUGCCCCUUGGUUCGGAAUAACAGUUAGAAAUGACUGCUAAUACCCGGAUGAUGACCGAAAGUCCAAAGAUUUAUCGCCGAGGGAUGAGCCCGCGUAGGAUUAGCUAGUUGGUGAGGUAAAGGCUCACCAAGGCGACGAUCCUUAGCUGGUCUGAGAGGAUGAUCAGCCACACUGGGACUGAGACACGGCCCAGACUCCUACGGGAGGCAGCAGUGGGGAAUAUUGGGACAAUGGGCGAAAGCCUGAUCCAGCAAUGCCGCGUGAGUGAUGAA